ACCAGGCUCGAGGCUCCCUGACUUGGUGCAUGCUUCACAAGUGAGCACUGGCCUGGGCUCAGAGUUGCUCUCCCUCCGCUGCUGCUGUUUCCGUCCAGUCUCCUACCUUGACCCAGCGCUCCUCUCUGAAGGCACUUGGGAAUCUGAGGAAUUUAUUAAGCGCCUGCUGUGUGCCUCGCACUAAGUGUCGCUCAGUAUACAAGAAGUUGGUAUGCCCGGCAAGACAGUACCAGCCAAGAAAACGCUUUUAGGCUUUACAGCCUGAGACCAUCAGGAACAAUCUUUCGACGAGAAACCAGUGGAAGGGAAGAGUUUAAUACCAAGGAAAUUGAAGAAGAAAGAAAAGCCUUAAUGAAGAGGAUACAUUCUCAAGACACCUUUUGCUAUCAGACACAGCUGUGCUUUCUGAAACAUAACCAUGGGCAGUUACUCUCCUUGAGUAGAUCCUGCUUUACAAGGCUUUCUACCAGAUGUCGGAAGGCAAAACUUUUGGAGGUUGAAAGAGUGAAUUGCAGAGGGCUGGACAUUUACACUUCAAUUUCUGGUACCUGGUUCAUAGAUCCCUCUAAGACCUAAUGCUAAGAAUGAGUUCCAUCUGUAGAAGCACUAAGCAAAGGUAAAACUUGGUAUUUUCUUUUUUUGUCACAUUUUUCUUAAUAGAAAUGGAAAUAGAGAUGUUAAAAAACUGAAUUUACCAAAUAGUUCUUUUUUGGGAGUUAA